GAAGAAAGGAGUUUCAUCUGACAAUUCAAAGUUUGGAAUGAUUGUGUCUCUGUAAUAGUAAAUGCCCUGUAUUCAGCAGUCUGUAUGCUACUCCUAAAUAGGAGUAAAAUAUCCCUUGACUCUGAGCCACCCUUUUCCAGAAAUGUUGGGAAUGCAACUCCCAUAAUUCCUAGCCUGCGUGGUUAGGGACUAGGAGUUAUGGGCAUUAUUUAUUACAGUAAUACCCCACCACAAUCAAUUCAACCCUUGGUAGCUUACAUAGUAGAAAACAAAACAUCCACAAAACAUAAAACAAAUCUUUGUAACAGUGAAAUAAGAACAAAACAAAUGAAACAAAAGUUGGCCCCAAACAGUUUAAAAUGAUCUUGUGAACAGUUCUGUCUUCAACAUCUUCCAGAACGUACUUGUAGUCCCAAUCCAGGCUGAGCUAAAUUGAUCCGUAUUAGGAAUUCAGCAAUUUCUAAGACUGUUAGGUUAUUGCAGACUCCGCAUCGUUGGGCCUCUGAGAGCACAACCAAGCCUUGAAUAGGACCAUCUCACUGACACCCAGAAACCGUAAGAAAAGGCCUACUGCAAUGGGCCAAGAGCAUGCUCAUUUUACCAGCAUCCAGGAAGAAACCUCUGAGUACACAUUAACAAGAAAUGGGAAUGACACCUGUUUUGUAGGGUUGUUAAAUUUGGAACAAGCCCCUUAGAUGCUAUCCUAGCAGAUUAUACACUCCAUGCUUUGCUUGCUUGCUUGCUUGCUUGACUUGCUACACCAUGUUACUGGUAUAGGAGCAGCCCAGGUUCCCUCAUAUCUUUGCAAACUACUGGAGAUCCACUGCUUUUCAGCUAGCAGAACAAACCAGUCUCUGUAACAAAGACUUUGUGAUCCUGUAGUAUUUGCACUUCCAGUAAUAGUGCAUUGAUUGAUUGAUUGAUUGGCUUUGAUCUGCAUGGCCCUUCCACAUGACAAAUGACUCUGGGUGGUAAGCUUAAAACAAUGGCAAAAACAGCAAAACUGAAACACAACAUGCCUGGGGCAGCACACAUAUCCACAUAAUAAACUUCUAAAAAGAGGCUCACCUAACUUCCUGCCCAGUACCCAGGGAAAAGACACAUUUUGAAGUUUAAGAAGCAGGAAAGGUUUAAACAAUGGCAAUAGCAGCAAAACA